AGUAAAUAGAUACCCAGGUAGUCCACGCCGUAAACGAUGAGUACUAGGUGUAGGAGGUAUCGACUCCUUCUGUGCCGCAGUUAAACACAAUAAGUACUCCGCCUGGGAAGUACGGUCGCAAGAUUAAAACUCAAAGGAAUUGACGGGGGCCCGCACAAGCAGCGGAGCAUGUGGUUUAAUUCGAAGCAACGCGAAGAACCUUACCUAGACUUGACAUCUCCUGAAUAGUGUAGAGAUACAUGAAGCCCUUCGGGGUCGAGGAAGACAGGUGGUGCAUGGUUGUCGUCAGCUCGUGUCGUGAGAUGUUGGGUUAAGUCCCGCAACGAGCGCAACCCUUA
rnacentral:rRNA from 1 species